CAGGUAUGUAGAACUGGACACCUGGUGGUUUACAAAAGGUCAAGGUGGAGGGGUCAAGGAGUGGACAGCACCAGCAGACAUCUUCCCCAACGGCAUCGAGUAUGUCCACAGGAGUUUGAACGUACCUAUUGUGGCGAAAAAUAAUUUCUGGUCCAGUGAUAA